GGGCCAAAAUUGUUUAGAAGAUUAAAUGUAAUCUGUCAAAUAUAUUUAUAUUUAUUGAAUAUUAUAUUAAUAGGCUAUUAGUAUUUUUAUUUAAGGACGCAUACCUGAAUUAAUCGUGCGUAAUGGCGUAAAACAGGUAAUAAUAUUUUAGUUAAACAGGCGAGCAUUGAGGAGGAACCACGACAAAAGCAACAUUUUAUCAACGGGCUAUUUGAACGAUCCAAAACCAUUAAAUUACAAAUGUCUGUUUACAACUCAGUGACCGUAGUAGUAGGUAAUUUAUUCAAUCUCGGUGGAUUUGUGGGGACUGGGGAUAAUUGAAGUUUCCAAUUAAUGAAAAGACGCUUAAAUGACAACGAAAACCCUUUGCGCGAGACCGAAUCGACAAGCACCAGACAGGUGAAGCCCGGUCGCUGUGUCCUGCUCAAGGGGACCUACAUGUGUGCCGAGUACUGUUACAAAGAUGGCCAGUGCCCCGAGGAACAGAAGUGUUUCCGGAUAUGUUGAUUCUACGCCUGCAGUGAGCCAUUGAAGCUUUAUUGGAAAUUCUUAUUAGUUAUAAGAAAUAACUAGAAAAUUCAAAUUAUUACAUGUACAAUUAUGUCUAUGAAAACUGAUGACUUUAUGCAAUAAUAAAUAUGAAAAAUAAUCAUAGCUUUUAUGGAAACUGGACAAACUUCAUGGACGUUCUGUGAAUUGACAAACUCACGUGGAUUGCUGAAUUUGAAUAAAACCAGAUUUUGAAC
rnacentral:lncRNA from 1 species